GAAGAAAGGAAUUUUCCACUGUUCACAACCCAGCUUGGAAAUGGCGGGGAGAUACUUGUCAUUUCCACGGCAUUGGCCCAUCCACUCAGCCUGCUUGUGGCUGCUUAUGUGACGGAUUGAUAUUGCAAGCCUACUGAAUGCUGACAUUCUCCUAAUUACCUACGCACAUUUCCCCGCGGAUUGUUGCUCCACAUCCUGCAAUUAGAAAUGUUGCUGGCGGAAUCUUCCAAGCCUUUGCGAUUCGGUGACCAGGCAACCUGCAGUAGAGGAUUUAACCUACCUCAGUUUCGUGCUAUUCCUCACUCUAAAGAUGGUAUUAUGAAUCGCUUGCAAGGGUGGUACAGAAUUAGGGCAUAUUGAUUGGAUCCUGAAAAAUCGGAGAUCCAAGGCAAUUCUUCUGUGAAAGGGUUGUUGAUUUUUGUUCCGGAACAUGGAGACAGGCUUGGAGAAUUUGCUCCGCAUAACCUCAUACAUCCUGACCAUACUUUGCGUCAAUGUGCCGCACUACUUUUCUUUAUGGGACGCAAGGCACGAGAAUCGCGAGAGGGUGAUGGCAGAGGGUAUGCAACCAGCAAGAAAUAAUCGCAACGGGAUGUUACUUCCGAAGACGGAUACAACUUCACACGCAAACAACCAAGCAAGCAACGACCAGAGCUCACGAGCUUCCCAUAUUUGGUUUGAUGCGGACAUGCACAAUCUGCAAAGUUUGGUAGAAGAUUAAGCUCUUGCAGCACUCGGCAACCUCAACGUACAUCCUCUUGUGUUGUAGCUACACCCUUGAGCUCCAUGAAGUGUACUCAGGGAGCUCUUUAACUCUCGGGUGCUUCAUCUUAGGGGUUCUAAAGCAGUGUUUUAUAACCAUCUACUUGAAUGAGAGUGAGGAUGAAGCCAACCUGUUGUCCAGACGAUGUUUCUAGCUCUGGAUUUUUGGGUGGAUCAUGGAACAUCGUGUGUCUUUUUGGAGCGUCCUUUGCCGUCCUGGUCGAAGAGGACCUAUUCUACCAUAGUGGGAUGAAUAGGCUCAUGUUCAAAUUUCUUCACAAAAAAUGGCUAUGAAAGCUUGACCUAUGUUUCCUUUUUGCGAGUAGAGCUGGUUGGUGCGAAUGGUAUCGAAGAGCAUCGAGGGCAUGCUCUCCGGCAACGGCAAGGAAUGGCAGAUCUGCUUCAUCAAACUGAACUGGAUCUUCCAGUGGAAUGGAUUGCACCGCUGCUGUUGUUUCUAAGUGGCCGGCUGCUGCUCAUACGACGGCAUUUUGACGGUGUCAUUGUAUGAGGUGGCUUCUGACUUGUGAUUCAUUGUGCAACAAUAGUUUCAGGACGGAGAGCAGAGUCAGAUUACUAAGGCAUUUCUGUAAUCCAUGGGACCCCUCUCUACCUACUUGUCUUGAUAUGUCUGCUUAGAGCAAGCCACAAUUGCAUCCUAGCGCUGCUAAUAUUCAACUUGCAAGUGCCAUGAGUUGAGUUGCAUUGUAUGUGUAGCGUUCAGCUUUGAAACAUAGAUGGGUGAGAAGUACUAAAUUUUUUUCCAUAACUGAAGGGUUUUUGUAAGA